GAUGAAGAACGUAGCGAAAUGCGAUAAGUAGUGUGAAUUGCAGAAGUACCGUGAAUCAUCGAAUCUUUGAACGCAAAUUGCACUCUCUGGUAUUCCGGGGAGUAUGCCUGUUUGAGGGUCGCUUAACAAACCAUCGAUUUCGUUGCUUUUUUUUUUAAAGUGAUGUUUAUCGGAUUUGAGCCGUUUUUUUUUUUAUAUUUAAGUGGCUUAAAAUUGAUUUUUUUGGUACGAUCGAAGCGUAUUUUUAUGAUCAAUUUUUGGUUAAAGAAACGCACACGUACCGUUAUUUAUAUGAUGUAAUACGUUUGACUAUUGGAUUUAGUUCAUUCGUAUACGAUAUCUUUCAAUAUUUGACCUCAAAUCAGGUAAGAACACCCGCUGAACUUAAGCAUAUCAAUAAGCGGAGGA
rnacentral:misc_RNA from 1 species